ensembl:lncRNA
AUGCACAACUGGCAGGAGAACGAAAUCAAAGAGCUGUUGACCAUCCGGGGGUCGGAGGGGAUCCGGGCCCAGAUCACGGGCACGGUGAAGGACUCUGUGGUGUACAGCAGGAUGACCAAACUGCUGGCGGAGCGGGGGGUGUACAGGACUCACAUGCAAGUGAUCAGCAAACUGAAGGCACUGAGGAAGCAGUACUCUAAGUACUACCAGCAGAAGACCCGCUGCGGGAGCGACCGCGUCGACUGGCCGUUUUAUGAGCAGUGUCACCGGGUUUUCGGGAAUACCCCCGAGCCGGACCCCACGGGGAGCCCGGUAAAACGUCAGAGGAGUCCCACACCUCCACCUCCUCCGCCGCACAGCAUCAGCGAGGAGCAUCGUGAGGUUGUAGUCGGGCUUUGGGAUGAAGUUGACGACAGGGAGCUCAACAAGCACCUGGGAACAGUGGAGGCAGAGGACGAGGAGGAGCAGUACAGCCCGUCAGAACAGCUGCAGCCCAUCAACACCACCUACGCAAUUCCAUCGAAGAAAAGGAAAACAACGGUGAUGGAGCAAGUCUCUACGUUGGUGUCGGCGACAGUCAGCCAGCUCAGGGAGAUGGACGCUGCCAUGCAGGCGCAGGAGGACGCCCGGCUACAGAGGCUGAUGGAGCAUGAGCAGGAAAUGCAGAACAAUCUAAUGAGUCAGCUGGUGAACAUGCAUGAAAGGAUCAGCCGAGAAAACCACGAGAGGCACCUUGAACUCGUGGACAGGAUACUGUCGAAGUUCCCUUCACCUUCUGCACCUUCGGGUCACUGACUUGACACUUCCCGUGUGAGUGACGAAGACGUAUGACGGUUGUUCAGGUGAAGGGAACACCAGCUGACUUGUGCCGAAGCCCACAUUCCUUUUAUUUCACUGUAUUUUCAACAGUGUUCUGAAAAAUAACUGCGAUAGUCUCUCAUUUAACCGAGACUCUGCUCACUUGUAUCUAAUACAAAUCCAGGUUAUAGACAUGUUCACACUACAGGCCGUCAUGCUCUGCUCUGACUCACUCAUAGUGAGUAUACAAACACAACAUGUACUGUUUUUAGAUUUUGAGUUGACCCUUGAACAACACAAUUGUAAAGUGACUUGUGCUGAAAACACAAAAGAUCAAUGAAGCUGCAUCAUAAUAAUAAUAAUAAUAAUAAUAAUAAUAAUAAUAAUAAUGAGCUGUAGCAGCAGCAUUUCACUUCAAAUAAUAUAAUUGUAUUUAUAAUAUUACCCUAACCCUUGUUAAAUGCAUAUUAUAAUGCAAAUGUAAUUUUGCCAUGACAACAUGGCAUUGUGUUUAUGUACAAUUCCAACAAUGUUACCGGAAACUGUUAUCUGAGGCGUUUGGUUCACGGUCCACAUAAACAUGCUCCGGUGAGGUACAUCCAUCCAGACAGCACGUUUCAACUGAAGGCUGAGUUCACACUGCAGGUUUUAUUCAAACGGUUAUAAAAUAUUUAUAACUAUAAACUCCAAAUGAUGAAGCCUAUUUAAAUUGUCCAGCUAGACCAGUGAUGGUCAACUAACGGCGAUGUGAUGCCGGGUGGCCCGCACGCCAUUUCUGUUGUAUCUUUAAUGUAAAUAAGGUGCCAGAGUGCUUUAAAAAAACAACAUUAAAAAUAGACUAAUAGAGCUUGUUUAUAUAAAUGUACAGACCGCUGAGGAUCUUUAAGCCCUGUAUGUUAUUAACUGGCCCCUUGCAACAUGUCAUUUUUCAUAAGUGGCACCUGGGCAAAGCAAGAUGAGUGUCCCUGAGCAUGUUUAUGUGGACCGUGAACCAAACGCCUCAGAUAACAUUGUUGGAAUUUGGCAUUUAGAGAAAGUGUUGCUGUGUCGAACAUUGAAGUGGAUAUCAUGUUUCAGCGCUGCUCCCCACAGGGAGAGGAAACCAGAGUAAUACAUUUUACAAACUGAGACUGUAAAAUGAUUUGCAGUAAGCGCUCGAGUCGCGGUUCUAGGUGUUAUUCUUGGCUGACACGAAAUUCCCGGUUGCGUUUACUGUUGUCAGCAAUCCGGGAGAAAACGUGUCAUUGAGGAAAAACACCGGCCAACUAAAGUGAGUCAUUACAGAGUCAUUACACUCUUAUAUAUCCUGCUCAAAAUGGAAACGCAGCGUUUAGCAGAAGCCAUACUGGUGUUAGUUUCACUUUCCUUAUUUGUUUGAGAGAAACAACUAUAAUUGCACCUUGAAUGGGACCAUCUGCAUCAGAAUGGGGAGAGUAUAAAAUAAACUUGUAUUUGUAAUUAGUUUGUAUACCGUUACCAGUGUUUUACAUUAAUUGUUUUGUUUGUUUUUUCCUUUUUGAAAGAACAAUAAAGUUCAACUGAAAUAAUGUGAAUGUCAAACAAGCUGAUUUAAGUAAUGCAGAGUAAUCUGAUGCUAACUGAUUUGUGAUGCUCGAGCUGUUGACGGAGAAGCGAUACACGUCCGCCCGUCUGCUCAGGACGUCCUGUGCAUCGUGGGAUGGAAACUGAGCCCAUAACCAGCUGGGUCUCAGAAUCACAGCUGCAUUAUGGGUUCCGUUACCAUCCCACGCACCAAAACGAGCUUCAGGUCCAGGCUCAGGUCUGCUCAGGGUAACGCAGCAAAAGAAAUAACUUAUUGACAGGGGAUAAAGGUGAAUUCACCCGAGUCAGACCAACAUUUCCAGUUUGAACUGCAAGUCCUGAAAGAAUUUGAAACUGUUUUAUAAUCAGUUAUGUAAGUCGCAGAGUUUCAAAGUAAAUAAGACGAGCAGUAUGCAACAGAAAGAAAGAAGUCAGUUAAUUACAUUAUGUUUGGUUUACAGAUGAUCUGUAUAAUGUUUGUCUCAUGUUUGAUUGGUACAGGACAGCAUGCCACCUUGUAUACUGCCCAUGUACAAAACACAACUCAACUUAACAUAAAACAAGACAAACGUUAGAAAAUCUCCUCUCGGCUGUAAUUUAGUGUUUAACAAGUCCCUCUUGAGUUGAGUAAAACCAGAAAAUCACUGUAAGGAGAUUUAGUUUUUGAAAAAGCAAAGCCCCUUGUGAACACCCAGCAGCUGCCUCAUUAUGAUCGCUACGAGAAGGUAAUUAUGAUUUAACUUAAAUAAAAAAUAUUAAAGCCCUUUCUGUAUAGAAUCACAGAAGUUGCUCUUGUGACUAAAUAUAAUAAUCAUAUGAUCAAAUGGUUUCUCACUUUGUUUAAUACAAGCACAAGUUUAUUUUUUUUUAACUAUAAUCCAUUUUGAUUUGGUAUAUGUGCGGUACAAAUGCAAGCAAAUUAGACACUAAAACUAAUCGGCCUUUAGCCGAGAGUUCUGUAUUUAAGUAAACCAUAAAUACUGUAAAUAGAUUUUCUUGUGUUUGCUCGUCUGACCAUUUUUAAAACAUUUGUAUCCAAGCAACUAAUACAGAUAACCUUAAAGUGGUGGCAGAUUUUUAGCCCUUUUUUAAAAGUCUAUCAUGAAGUUUGACACCGCUCUGUUUAAUGUGGGAAAUUGAAGCUUAAUAAGUUGCUCUUGAAAAUUUGAGAAAGAUUUAAUUAAAAAAAACAAGAUUUAAAAUUCAGACACUCCCAGACUGUAGGUUAAAUAUUUGAGCAGGGAAAGUUAAUCACUGACAGCAUCAAACUUACAACUUCCAAGUAGCUUUGUGUAGCUGUGUAAUGGUGCACCAUCUUGAAAAACCUGUUGUGUAUUAUCUGUUGAGUGUCUGCCAGCAAGAAGGGACACGAGAGCUCAAGAGAGCUGAAGAAGAAAAAACCAAGGAAGACAUUUACAUGUAGGACUUUUCCUGUGGGGCUAAAAAUAGCUUUAGGAACCUGAUUUAAAGCUGCAUUUAUUUCUUAUAUGUUUAAAGGCUUCAAAAAGCCUCAAACUGAGAACUAAACCUUGACAGAAAAGUGACAGUUGGUGAAACAGAGAGAGGACUUAGACAAACUUUCCCUUUGUCACCUUUACUUCAGCCCUUGAUAAGAGCCCCUGAAGACUCUUUCCGACAAUGAGAGGAGAGAUGAAACAGGCGGUUAUAUAAGCAGUAAAACAAGAUUUAUGAGAAGAAUGUGAGGACAAAGUUUAACAAGUCAAAGCAGGAGAGGAAACGAGGACUUAGUUUGAACUUAAAGCCAAUAGAGUGAAAGCAAAGUGAAAGUACAAAAAGACACCAGUACAAAUACAUUAUUCACAUGAUUAUACAGUUUGUAGAAUAGUAUUUAAAAGUUCUCCAGCUCACCAAGCUCUCCGAGCAGCAGUGUCUUCAUCUGUUGUCCUGUCUGCCAACAGCUCAGUCUAAACUUCCUCUUUAAAUACUGGAGAGAUUCAUUUCACUUUCACUUCUCCUGAUCAGACAAAACUCCUCCUUUCCUUCCUUUAUCCACUCCUUCCCCUCUCCCUGCUAGAGAGACACGGCUACUACUAUCCUCUUAUGUUUCUUUAUUUCAAAUACACUCUAAGUCGACCUAAAUGCUCACUUGUAAGGUAGAUUACAUGUAAAGUUGGAUUUAUUUUCUUGUCUUGAAUAGCUUCCAGGUUAUGUGUGUCCCAACAUUUUGUUCCG